rnacentral:lncRNA from 1 species
AUUUAAGUCAUUUGUUUGAUAUGAUUCUCUGCUGGUAUAUCCAUUUAGUGUGGUAUUGGAGUGCAAAUGUACAUAAGUCAAAUCUAGUACAUAUUUAAAUUCCCCACGCUGUGCUGGCUUUUUUUUUUUUUUUUUUUUUUUUUUUGGUAUGGAGUCUCAUUCUGUCACCAGGCUGGAGUUGCAGUGAGCCAUGAUCACGCCACUGACCUCCAGCCUGGGCAACAGAAUGAGACUCUGUCUCAAAAAAAAAAAAGCAUACAUCUCUGAAGGUAAAGUAUAAAUCAGUGGGCUCAAGAUUUGCAGGUAUAGCCUUGUUAUUGCCUUCAACAAUGCUUACGUUCCUUGUCUUACGGGUUAUAAUUUUCAAAUCCUCUUCAGAUACAAUCUGAGAACUUGUUGACUACCUUUGUUACAUUUAAAAAUUUUCUAUUUUAAUAUUGCAUUAUAUUAAUGGUUUUAUAGUUAGUACAUUCCAGUUCUUUAUCUGAAGAAUAUUGCUUUUAUUUCCAGUUUCUUGGACCAGAACAAUAAACUACGUAAGACUUAGUUUCUAUAUGGUCAUAUACUAUAUAGAAUAAAGAAUUGUUACGUAAAUUAUUAAAUGGGUAUACAGACCUUUACAUAAAAACUAAGGUACCUCAGUGGAAUCUGCUAUAGUGCUUCCCCCUCCCCACCCCUCCAUUUUGUUUAUAACCUUUUAGCUAUCUAAAUAAUACAUAUUCCAUACUCAGGUUAGCUGGUUAGCUAGCAAAAGAAUUAACAUUUGUGAUAUUUACUUGCAAACUUUACUGAAGCCAUAUUCAUUAUCUUCUUUGUCACCAAGGCUGUUGACCUUAAAUAAACAUUAAGUUAUCUUGCACAACACUGUAUAUGUGUGUGUGCAUGUGCCUGUUUCUGUGUACAUUUGUGGGAAAUAAUUAUGUUUGUUUCCACAUGUAUUCAUUUUUAAUCCAUUCUGUAACUUUUCUGGGGGGGGGGUGGUCAUUGAGGGUAGGGAAGGUUUUAUAUUUUAAGUUGUCGUUAAGGUAUUUCAUUAGUGUUCCUGAGUGUAAAACAGUUUUUUCCCAAAUACUUAUGGCAGAUAAGAGCAUUUUUGUAAAUAAUAAAUUAGCACCGUUUGGAUUAAAUUUGCAUUCAGUUGUUUUUUAGACAGGUUCAUUGUCAUGUAAAGCAAAUAUCUCAAAAUUUAUUUUACAUUUAGCAAAGGUGCAAGAUUGUUUUUGGAGUUUGAGAGAUAUUUUCCUUGUCUUCCAUCUUUCAAUAAAUACUAAAAUUGAUAACCACAA